UUCUUAUCCAGAGCGGUGGAGGGAAAUGCCCUAUGAAACCCGGCAACCUAAGUUAUCGAUACUUAAGGUGCUAAAUCAUGCAGAACAUAUAAGUUCUGAAAGAUGAGAA
rnacentral:ncRNA from 2 species